rnacentral:rRNA from 1 species
UACGGAGGGGGCUAGCGUUGUUCGGAAUUACUGGGCGUAAAGCGCACGUAGGCGGCUUUGUAAGUUAGAGGUGAAAGCCCAGGGCUUAACCCUGGAAUUGCCUUUAAGACUGCAUCGCUAGAAUCGUGGAGAGGUGAGUGGAAUUCCGAGUGUAGAGGUGAAAUUCGUAGAUAUGCGGAGGAACACCGAUGGCGAAGGCAAUCCCCUGGGCCUGCACUGACGCUCAUGCACGAAAGCGUGGAGAGCAAACAGG